AUGUUUUUACUCCCACAAUUUAUCCUCUGCUUGUGGCUAGUGUUUUUUCUCCUAGAUCCCUGCAGAAUGUUCAGGGACAUUUUAUUGACACUAAUGGAGAAGUCCAUUACGUUUGAUGGUACCACAGUGUUUCAGUCUCUGUGUACAAUGUUUUCCUGGUUCUGCUCCUCUCAUUCUGUAUCACUUCCUGGAGGUUGUUCCAGUCUCCAUGGAAUCACUCCACUUUAUUAUUCCUUUUUGCACAAUAGUAUUCCAUGCUCAUCAUUUCUUUUUUUUUUUUUUUUUUUUAUGUUUUUCAUUUUCUUUUGACAGUUGAUUCAUAUACCUCAUAACUCAGCCAUGUAUCACAGGGUGAUCCAGGUGUUGGUCAGCACUCUCCUCAAGGGGGAUUGUAUUAUGAUCCUAUAAUGCAAAGUUUUAAUUCUUUUGAGGGAAUUUUAGUAUAAGAAACUUGCUACCUCCAAGAAUCAAGAAAGUAAACAGUUUGGAGAAGGUGCCAUGGAGAAGCCUGCAGAAACCACACACUGCACCAAAAGAUCCAGAAUGAACUUUAGGAUGUAGUGAAAUUGAACUGUGGGGGGUUGAACGUAUUUAUUUUGAAUAUAAACUCUUAUGCCAAAGGGGACUGCCCCCAAUUGGCUUUUUGUCAGUGCUCCCACCAAUCAUUGGUUUUGCUCUCUUUCUCUUUUAUUUCCCCUCUUAUCCACAAAUUAUUGUAAUUUCCCCUUACAAAGUACAAUAUUGUAUGUACCUCUAGUUAAAGAUCUUUAGAGAUAUAAAUUGAUUAUGUGGACUGAUUCAUUAGGGAAACUAGGCAUAUAAAUCUGGGAGAUUUCUACAUGCUUGUUUCCCAACGGAAUCACAGGGGGAUUGUAUAAUUAGCAUUUUGAACCCCAGGACUCUCUCUCCCAGCAUUCCAUGUUCCUUCUCACAUUAUGUGCUAACAUAGGGAGGAUGUAAGUUUUGUGUAGCUCUGCUCUCGCACUCUUUUCUCCCCUAAAUGCGACUGUGGAGAUGCAGUGAAGUGAGAGACAGGAGAAUUUUACUCAGGUUUUACUUUUGUCCUUUUAUUUCUUCUACUUCAAGUGAUUAUUAAUAAAUCUUAUAAAAUAUAAUACUUGGAAUUAUCA
rnacentral:lncRNA from 1 species